UACGGAGGGGGCUAGCGUUGCUCGGAAUUACUGGGCGUAAAGCGCACGUAGGCGGCUUUGCAAGUCAGAGGUGAAAGCCCGGGGCUCAACCCCGGAAUUGCCUUUGAGACUGCAUCGCUAGAAUUGUGGAGAGGUAAGUGGAAUUCCGAGUGUAGAGGUGAAAUUCGUAGAUAUUCGGAAGAACACCAGUGGCGAAGGCGACUUACUGGACACAUAUUGACGCUGAGGUGCGAAAGCGUGAGGAGCAAACAGG
rnacentral:rRNA from 1 species